rnacentral:rRNA from 1 species
GACGAACGCUGGCGGCAGGCUUAACACAUGCAAGUCGAGCGCCGUAGCAAUACGGAGCGGCAGACGGGUGAGUAACGCGUGGGAACGUGCCUUUCGGUUCGGAACAACUGAGGGAAACUUCAGCUAAAACCGGAUACGCCCUGCGGGGGAAAGUUUACGCCGAAAGAUCGGCCCGCGUCAGAUUAGGUAGUUGGAGGGGUAAUGGCCCACCAAGCCGAUGAUCUGUAGCUGGUCUGAGAGGACGAUCAGCCACACUGGGACUGAGACACGGCCCAGACUCCUACGGGAGGCAGCAGUGGGGAAUAUUGGACAAUGGGCGCAAGCCUGAUCCAGCCAUGCCGCGUGGAUGAAGAAGGCCCUAGGGUUGUAAAGUCCUUUCGGCGGGGACGAUAAUGACGGUACCCGCAGAAGAAGCCCCGGCUAAUUUCGUGCCAGCCGCCGCAGUAAGAC